GACGAACGCUGGCGGCGUGCCUAAUACAUGCAAGUAGAACGCUGAAGGAGUAGCUUGCUUCUCUGGAUGAGUUGCGAACGGGUGAGUAACGCGUAGGUAACCUGCCUGUUAGCGGGGGAUAACUAUUGGAAACGAUAGCUAAUACCGCAUAAUAGUAGAUGUUGCAUGACAUUUGUUUAAAAGGUUCAAUUGCAUCACUACCAGAUGCACCUGCGUUGUAUUGGCUAGUUGGUGGGGUAUCGGCGCACCAAGGCGACGAUACAUAGCCGACCGGAGAGGGGGAUCAGCCGGACUGGGAGGGAGACACGGCCCAGACGGAUACGGGAGGCAGCAGUACGGAAACUGCGGGCAUGGGCGGAAGUCAGACCGAGAAAGGCGGCGGGAGUGAAGAAGGAUGUCGGGUCGUAGAGCUCUGUUGUAAGGGAAGAAAGAGUGUGAGAGUGGAAAGUUCACUCUGUGACGGUAACUGACAAGAAAGGGACGGCUAACUACGUG
rnacentral:rRNA from 1 species